UACGGGGGGGGGCAAGCGUUGUUCGGAAUUACUGGGCGUAAAGGGCCAGUAGGCGGCCAACUAAGUCGGAUGUGAAAUCCCCAGGCUCAACCUGGGAACUGCAUCCGAUACUGGAUGGCUUGAAUUCGGGAGAGGGAUGCAGAAUUCCAGGUGUAGCGGUGAAAUGCGUAGAUAUCUGGAGGAAUACCGGUGGCGAAGGCGGCAUCCUGGACCGACAUUGACGCUGAUGAGCGAAAGCGUGAGGAGCAAACAGG
rnacentral:rRNA from 1 species